rnacentral:lncRNA from 1 species
GUCCUAUUUUUUUGUUGCACUAAAAUGUUAAAUGGACUUUGAGGAUACUUUUGGACAUUAAGUUUUGAUCGAAUGUCCUUGAAUUCAACUUUGUUUUGGAUAUAGCUACACAUAAUUUAAAUCAACUCCUUAGAAAAAGAAAUUUUCAAAAAGAGUGAUGAAAAGAUCAUAAUUGAUGUUGUUGGAGCCUAAAAUUUAUCCUUUGCUGCCAAUCAUGAGAUAGUUCUAAGUAUUUUAAUGGUCUUGUGGAUCCUUAAUUGUUAAUCCAGAUGAUUUGUAAACCAGCAAAGGACAGAUUCCCCCAUGAACUUUCAGAGUUUCAGUAAAUCUAGUACUUGAUAUUAUAUUUGCUCCACAUUCCAAGACCUCUUGUGUUUAGAAGUGCUUUUAAAAUGACUGAAAAUGCUUUUGGAACCAAUCCUUAGUAAAAAUGCAACUGAAUCCAGGAAAUGCACUUGGAACUGCUUCCUGCAAGAAGCCAAGAAGCGCAUAACUGGUGCUUCUUCCAAAAUGCAUUUCAAGUGCUUUUGGAACCCAAAAGCAGUUAUACCGAAGCACUUUCAGUCAUUUUAGAAUUAUUCCAAACGAGCCUACUCAGUUUGUCUUCCAGUUUACCUAUAGUGCUUCCCUGAUUUAUUAUGAAUGUAUCUACUUAUGGUAAAAAAAAAAAAACUGUAUCAAUUUUUCCAUGUAUUGAUAUUGUGGUUUGUUUUCAAUGUUAAUU